ACACCAAAAGUGGUAUAUGAACGCUUUGUAGACUUUGUAGGAAGAGGUUUUCCCUCUAGAAUACCGUUUAUUUGGCGGGGAAAAUCAGGAAUGGUCAAAUAGAAUUUAUCACUGUCAACUAUCAUAAAAUUAGCAGGAUUCUCAUCACAACCAAUGUCCCAGGAAACAUUUCCCGACCAACAAAAUUGGAAACCUGCACCUUCACCUAGAAUAACAUAAGGAUCUCGUGAACCUUUUAAAGAAAGAAAAACAUCACCGUCUUCAAGCCAACGUAGACGUAUCUGAGAAUGAGCGACAAGUCUGAUUUUAUCCCAAAAACCCAACUUCUCUGAAGGAUCAAUCGGCAUUUUUGUGAAUGUAUCCAUAAUUCGUGUCAUAUCAGAUAAAGCUGGUUGAUAUGAAUUACACCAAAGCAGAAAAGUUGGGAGGGAAGAAUUAACAUCAAUUUCAGUUUUAGAAAAAGUUUUGAUUGGAGAUACGGUACGUGUAACAUUAACAACGUAUGGAAU